rnacentral:rRNA from 1 species
GAUGAACGCUGGCGGUAUGCUUAACACAUGCAAGUCGAACGGACUCUUCGGAGUUAGUGGCGGACGGGUGAGUAACGCGUGAGAAUCUGGCUUUGGGUUCGGGACAACCACUGGAAACGGUGGCUAAUACCGGAUGUGCCGAGAGGUAAAAGAGAAAUUGCCUGAAGAUGAGCUCGCGUCUGAUUAGCUAGUUGGUGAGGUAAAGGCUCACCAAGGCAGCGAUCAGUAGCUGGUCUGAGAGGAUGACCAGCCACACUGGGACUGAGACACGGCCCAGACUCCUACGGGAGGCAGCAGUGGGGAAUUUUCCGCAAUGGGCGAAAGCCUGACGGAGCAAUACCGCGUGAGGGAAGAAGGCUCUUAGGUUGUAAACCUCUUUUCUUAGGGAAGAACAAAAUGACGGUACCUAAGGAAUCAGCAUCGGCUAACUCCGUG